rnacentral:ribozyme from 1 species
UUUUUUUUUUUUUUUUUUUUUUUUUUUUUUAUUUGCAAGUCUGUA